rnacentral:piRNA from 1 species
UGAUGAAAUUGUGUGGCUGCGAUGCCGAUU